UCCUCAAAACUCUCUCAAAUUACCUGGUUCGCCCACCGCCCACGGCCAUUGAUGCAAAUCUGAAGCCAUAUGGUAUGGGCUUGCAAUCUAUCGGCCACGUGGUCUCACAAAAAACAACUGGUAGCAUCGAUGGUGUGCUACGUAAACGACUCAUCCUCAUCAGUAGAAGAAUAAAUACAGAGAACUGCACGUCCACCGCCAUCCACUCUACUCAAGGCCAUCACGGAUUCAUGGUAGGUGAACUGGAAUCUAACACUCUUGCUUGCUUCCCAACGUUGUUGCUCCUACUUGCUUCCUAAUGCUUUACAACGGACAAAUUGAAGCGCUUGGCCUCUGUUUGUUUGCUGGCUCAAUGGCUUCUCCAAAAAUUUUGUGCUACAAUCGAAAGCGGUGGCUCGGUGCUGGUAGUUGACAGACUACAUGUCAGUGAACCGCUAAUGAAGCUAACCCAGGGCUUCCAUUUGUGCCCUGGAAAGCUUCCGUUUUGGCGGUGAAUAUAUAUACACACACACUGGUAUGCUAUGCUUACAGUUUGGAAUUCAUUUUCUACAUACUCCUAGCAGUGGCUCAUGAAUUCGUUUUCAAUCAUUCGCUUUCAAUCAUUCGCGUGCGAAACCCCUCUUCCAUCAAUUGUGACAGAGCUUCUAUUCAGGGAAAAACCUUUUUGAUUUAUCUUUCUCCCCUCUGGUAUGUACUUCAUUUGUUCCUUUUUCUUUAGUAAGGUUUUGGAGAGAGUGAUUCUUAAUUUCGUUGACCCAAUCAAUGGAAGCAUGCCAGGUAUUCGCUAAAAUUCCUAUAAGAACGUUCGUUAUGUUUUUUCUUUUCAUUUUUACCCUUGACUGUUUACUUUGUUUUUGGUAGACGCUGUUUGCUACCUUAUUUCAAACUUGCCUUGAUGAAAUGCUAUAUUUCUUUUGGAUCUUUAUUGAUAUAUUUGUCUGGUACUCAUCAUGUACUCUCAUGUUCAAAGUUCUAAAUAUAUAUAUAUAUAUUGCUGAUGAAAACAAAAAAAAUUUAUUUCUCAGUUAUAAAAGUUAUUACAUAGGUGUUUCCAGAUACACGCCAUUGCUUUUGUUUGUGGCAUGUGUUGAGAAAAAUUCCUGAAAAUCUAAGUCAUAUAGCGAACAGGUCUGAAAAUUUUAUGUUGAAAUUUAACAAAUGCAUUUACCAAUCUUGUACAAAUGAAGAGUUUGAAAAUAAAUGGGGGAAAAUGGUUGAUAAAUUUGAGCUCAGGAAUGAUGAAUAGCUUCAAUCACUCUAUCGAAAUCGUAAAAAGUGGGUUCCUGCUUGUAUGAGUGGUACCUUUUUAGCUGGAAUGUAUGUGCACUAUUGAGCAAUUAGAGUAUAUAUCGUCUUUGUUGAAUAAACACAUACACAAGGAGUCUACAUUUAAAGAGUUUAUUGAUUAGUACAAAGUUUUUUUGCAUGAUAGGUGUGAAGGGGAAGCCAGAGCUGAUUUUGAAACACAUCACAACCUGCCUGUGUUAAAAUCUCUAUCUCCUUUUGAGAAACAACUGUCAACAGUUUAUACACAUGCAAUAUUAAAGAAAUUUCAGGUUGAGGUUUUGGGAACAGUUGCUUGUAGUCUGCGAAAGGAAUGUGAUGCUUUCUUCUUGCAACUCUUUGUUAUUGUUGGAUACGACAUGGGUUAUGCUGAAGUUGAAGUGCUAAGAGUUUAUUGUUGAUUUUCUUUUAGCAACUUGCUUCUCACAGGUUAUUUGAUGUCCAUGCGAAGGCUAUUGGUGACAUUCAUAUUGAUUAUCAUCACUCAAAUGAAGAUGUUGCACUUGCCAUUGGAACGGUAACCUCCUGAAAUUGAUUAAUCAUUAUUCCUUUAAUGUGAUGUAACACAAAAGCUAUAGUAGUGAGCAUUCUAUUUUCCAUGCUAUCUUCCUUUCUAUCUUCCUUUCUAAUUAAUAUUCUAUUUUCCGGCCAUGGUUCUUUUGGCCAUGGGAGGUGUGAUGGUAGUUCUCGAUCGGUUCAGCGGAACAGCAUGGUGGCAGUGUUCCUAACGCAUGUGACACGAUUUUCGAUGCUAUGGAUCAGUGUUCUUCAAGCUUGUGUCUUGUCUUUAGUUUGUGCGGGUUAUUGAAAAGAUAAGUGCUGUAGCUUUUGGUGGAAUAGAAAAGUGUGGGUUGGUGAAAUGAAAAGUGAUUUGGGUUGAAAAGAAGGGUGUGGCUGGUUGAAAGGAGGAGUGCAGUAGCAGCAUGGGUGUUUUUGCUUUGGGUUGUGUGGGUUGAUUUUGUGGGAUUUCAUGUAUUUUAUUUUUUAGUUAAGUCAUUAACUUUUUUUAUUUUUUUGAUUUUGUCUUUUAUUUUUGUUUUAAAAAAAAAAAAAUUGUGAGGCUGAGGGGUUGGUUGUAUGGAUGCGAGUAGCAGUAGUAGAGAUAAUUUGUACUUUCGAAUCUGUCUUGAUGUAUGUCAUUUUCCUGUAUCUUUAAUUUCAUGUUGUUAAUAAAUUUUUUCUUUGCUAAUCAAAAGAAAAAAAAA